GGAGGACGAGGUCGCGUAACUGCCAUGGCGACGACCUACAAAGUGACUCUGAAAACUCCCGAUGGACCCGUCGAGAUGGAAUGUCCCGAUGAUGUCUACCUUCUCGACUACUUCGAGGAAAAAGGAAUCGAUCUACCGUACUCUUGCCGUGCCGGAUCUUGCUCGUCUUGCGCAGGGAAGGUUUUGUCUGGUGAGAUUGAUCAAUCCGAUGGAAGCUUCCUCGACGAUGAUCAAGAGCAGGAAGGCUGGGUGCUCACCUGCGUCGCCUUCCCUAGGUCCGAUUGUGUUAUUAAGACCCACAUGGAGAAUGAAAUGGAUGACUAAUUUAGUACCGUCCGUCGUCACCAGAGGAAACCUCUGUUCCGUCCUUUGUGUUAUUAAUUAAUAUCCUUUUCUAUUUAAUGUCUUUUUAAUUCGUGUAUGUUUAUUUUCAUUUCAUUAAACAAUGUUUUUAUAAAGUUACUGAGGGUCGGUCUAAGAUUUUAAUAUCUUUAUUUACUUAAUUUUCAUUCUCAUGUAAUCGAUGAUAAUACAUCUCAAGGUCAAGGUACAUAUUUUUACUUGAAGAAAAACAUUUAUAAACUAUGAUUUUAUUUAUUUUUGAUGAAGAAUCGGAUAACUGAGGAGCGUGAGACCGGAGGUAAGCGAGGAGGAGGUGAGGAGUGUGCAGAGAGUUGGCAACGACAGAGUCGAUUUUCGGAAGUUCGAGAGGUGAGACAAGCUCUAGGGUUUCUGAGAAAAUAAUAGACCUUAAUAUUUGACUUUAUAAAUUAACUCGAUUAAUUAUUAUAACUAUAUGGUAAAUUUCAAGUGAAAACCAAUAUAAUUUGGUUUUAAUUACAUAACAUAAUUACAUAACAUAAUUAAAAUCGUUGAAUGUCAAUAUGAGUGUAAAUGAGUCUGGAUCCAGGUCUGAGACUACUUUUAGCUCUAUUAAAAGUUUUGGACCUAGAGGUCCCAGUUCAGAUUAACUAGACUCGGUCAGAUAUUAUAAAUGUUUAUAAUAUGUGAGCAACUUAGGAUUUAAAUAUAAAUAUUUUAAUAUAUAUUAGUAGCUUAAAUAUAAAUAUAUCAAAAAUAUUUAAAUAACCUUAUAUAAAUUUUAACUAAUUAACUCUUAUUUAAUUAAAUAUUUAACUUUGUUGUUAUUUUUUAGUUGUUACUUUUCAACUUUCAAAUGUUUUAAUAUUAUUGGCCUUAAAUUGCUAUUUUUAUUUUAUGUUUAUUGAUUUUAUUAAUUAUUUUUGUAUAUUUAUUGAUUUUUUUCAGGUAACAAAAAAAUCAUAUAUUGGACCCGGAUCCGACUCAUAUCUGGAUUUUUUAGGAGUCCAGAUUCAGAUAUUUUCAUUUUAGAUCUGGAUCCGACCCAAACCCGGGCCAACUUCAUGAGUCGGGGUCUGGAUCUAGGCCAACCAGCUCAGACUUGGACCAUUUACACCCCUAAAUGUCAAUGUGGCUUCUAAAAAGAUAAAAACAAGUUGGUGGAAUUAAAUAAAAAUAUUAAUUAAUGAGAAAGAUGAGUAUGUGAUUGCAAAUUACCAAUAUUUAUUUGACUUAAAUAAUAAUAUCGGUUAAUGGAUUAUUUAUUAUCACUUUCGUCCUCUGACAAUAGAACUCGAAGUUCCGUCAAAUAAUCCAUCGAUACAAUUUUCCAAAUCCUCAGGGGCAAAUUUGAUAUAUCUCUCAGGGUGUUUUCCAGAUUCUAUGUACUGUCUGAACCUUCCGAGAAACGACCUAUACGCCGGAACCACCACCGCCUGCACCGACACUCUAAGCUCCGACUGUAGUUGCUCGUCGCUCAAGAUCCACGUGCUCUGCGUCUUGUAUAUAUCUUCGAAGAUAGAAUUGAAGAGCUUGAAUCUCUCCCUCAACGCCGAUUUCGAAACUGCACCGGUCGACGACGACGUUCCUUUUAAACGCAGACCUUCUUCUUUGAAACAGUUCAGAACUUUUCCCCAUGUUUCUCUUUGGUAGUUCUUGUGGUACUGUCUCAGUUCGGAGCUCUUCUUCCGGCACCAAUUCUCGCCGAGGAGCUCCUUGAUCUCCGACCAACUUUUUAUCUUCUGCACUAUGUACCUCCCGUUGUUCAUCAGGAAGAUGUAGCUCAACGAAGGAUCCUUGUACAGAUUCGAAUUCCGGUCAAGACUCGUGUCGAGGAGGUUCAUUAUUGCCAUCACUUGCUCCGAGAACGAUACCGGCGUGCUUUGUCGAUAAUCACCGACGUCGCUGCUUUCUGAUUCGUGACGCUCUUUGAACACCUGUAUAAAGGAUCGGUAUAUGGUAUAUCAGAGUUGAUGGUAUCAGAGUUCAGACCAUCAUCGGAGUGAAUGAUCAGUACCUGUUCUAAAGUGUUCUUAUACUCGAGGGCGUACUUGAGGUAGUUCAUGACGUAACGGGUCAAAGGAUGUACUGCGCCACCGGGGACGGGAAUCCGACCGUUGUCGCAUUUUAUGGAAUUCUCGAGAUCGGUGAACAUUCCGAUGAUGGGUUUUCCGAUAUGAAUUUUGGCGGCGGACAUUUCGCAUUUCAACUCCGUUGAUGGGAGAGAUCCAUCUUCUUCUUCUUCUUCUUCUUCUUUUUCUUUCUGAUCAUGUUGUUUACCGUGGCCGGAGAAUAGUUUGUUGAGUGUCGGAGUAAGGUCUCGCAUGGUCUCGUACAUGUCAAGGAACUUGAACAGUUUCUCCUCGGAUCUCUUCGUCAUGGUAACAUGCUCCGUGAAAUUAAGUAACUUGAUAACCACGCCACGAACAAGAUUGCUGAACAGUCCGUCGGAAACCGUCGAGUAGUGAUCGGAGAAAACCUUCUCGCAGAGAUCUCUCUCUGUCGGAAACGAAACAGACACCAUAUGUUUGAAAGCCAUGAUCCACGAUGCUAUCUCAGAUUCCAACACAUCCCACGCCAUAUUCUGUAGUUCUUCUGGCUGAAUCUUCCCGAACCCAAUCUCCAUCAACGUCGCUUCGAUCUUACCACGUCUAACGAUGCUGAACACUUGGCAACAAUCGGUGUCGUAUCCGGCGGCUAUCAUGAUAUUGGCUAUCUUUUUCAGUCUCUCCAAAACAUCACCUUCCAAAAUCUCCGAUGAGCUAUCUUUAUCGUCACCAACUUCUUCCAACAACAACCGGAAUUCCUCCUCAAGAACCGCCAUGGUACGUUGGAGGACACUGACGGUGUGAAUUAUAGCACGACCGUAGGAGCUGUUCGACGGAAACUCUCCCAGCGCGGUGGUGAGUUUCGACACUUGUUCCAAUGCUAGGAGAAGAGAUGAUAAAUCUCCUCCAUCGCCGCCGUUAUUAUUCUUUUCGUGGUAAAGUUUGACUGUCACCUCUUUUUCCACGAAGGCGAUGACGCGGUUGAUGGUGGAGAUGGGCGCUUCUGGAAGAUCUUUCCGGGUAUCGACGACAGUAUUCGGUGGUGGAAUGAUGGAGAGGAACUUGCCUAUAGUACGGAUAUCUUCUAUGACGUCGGUUUUAAUAUUCUUAUCGACGUCUGUACUGAUGUUGUUCAUGGAGAGACCUGCCGGAGAAACAAAAAAUCGAUCGGAAAAGCUAGAUUUACCUUCUACUUGCACUGUUUUUCUUCUUCUUCUUCUUCUUCCGCUUCUUCCUCGUCCUAUCCGCCGCCUUCUAAAAAAUCAAGCAAAGAGGGAGAGGCGGGGAAUAGGAGGCGGCGGAAAGCAAGGGAGAAACACACGACAUGCUAAACUUAACUAACUAUAAUAGUUAGUGGUGUGAUCGUGCGGUGCAAUCUUUAAAUAUCCUAUUGCUAAUUUUGCUAAACCAAGCUCGGUCGGCAGUUGAGCUCAAGCUUACUGAUUUUGCUAACAUGGACAAUUGCUAAACGACGGAUCUGGUAGAGACCUUAUUGAGUUCGUUGAUGGCUCAAUAGUGACACCUCCAAAUUGCCAAAAUUUAUUGAUGCAUCAGGGAGGGAACGCAUGGGAAUUAAAUGAAAAAUUAAACCCUAAGCGCACCGACUACUAAAAGGUUGGAUUACUAGUCGACUUUUUUCAACAACUCUGAGUUUGAUUACUGAAAUAGAGACAUCAAAAGAGGUAUGGGACACCUUGAAAAAUGCGUGUGCACAAGAUUUAAUUGAGAGUUUUUAUUAAGGGGAAAAAAUACAACAAUUAAAAAAAAACUUUAUGUUUUGAGGAUUCAAGACCACUAUAUUAAUGGUCUGAAAAUGUUUUUUUGAUGAAUUAAGCUUGAUAGAGAGAGUGCUUGGAGAUGUAGAGAAGACAUAUUGUCUAUUGCAAGGAUUGGGGGAUAGUUAUGAGUCGUUCAAGACUGUUACAUUAAAACCACCAGUUCCACCCUAUAAUUCUGUGGUGCCUCAACUGAUCAGUUACGAUUUAAAGAAUGGAUUAAUAAUUAAAAAAAUCUUGAUCUUUUUUAUAUGGAUAGGAAGAAUAGAGGAAAAUUUUAUAAAAAUAAAGGAAAAGAAAGAAAACAAGAAUUUAACUCAAAAGGUAAAGGUUUUAAACCUCGUUGAUCUAAUGAAGGCUGGAAACAGUCCAAAGGAAUAAGGUCGGAUGGUAGGGUUUUAUGUCAAAUUUGUAAGGGGCCAGGUCAUCAAGCAAUAGUUUGCCCUAGCAGAUUUGAUCACUCAGUACAAGCUGAUGAUCUUCAUCGUGAGAUAUAUGAAUGCUUUACAUAUGUCAGGAGAAUCUUUAGCUCAGGAAUGGCUAGCAGACACGGGAGCUGCAACACAUAUGAUAUACAAUGAAGGUAAUCUUGAUUCCUUCAAAUCCUAUACUGGAAAAAAAAUGUGUAAAAGUUGAAAAUGGAAAAGAAUUAGAUAUCUCAUUUAAAUGAGAUAAAAUUAUAAUGUUAGAUAAUGAUAAAAUUUCGAAAGGUAUAUUUUUAGGCAAUUUGGAAAAAAAGAAAAAAAAUUCAAUGUGAUGGUGGAGGUGAGUUUUGCAAUAAUAAAUUACAAAAUCACUUUAGAAAUAAGGGUAUAAAAAUACAAAUGUCAUGUCCUUCAACUCGCCAACAAAAUGGGGUAGAUGAACGAAGACAUAAAACUAUUAGGGAACAUGGACUAUCCCUAAUGUUUCAUAGUGAAAUUUCACAAAACUUUUGGGUAGAGGCAUUUGACACUGCCAUUUACCUUAUGAAUAAAACUCAUUCAGUUUCUUUGGGAAAUGUCUCACCAUUUGAGAAAUUAUAUGAGAAAGAGUUCAAUUUUAACAAUCUUAAAAGUUUUAAAUGUGUAUAAUGUUAUCCCUACAUCUGGGAUACUAAAAUAAAUAAAUUCAGUCCUAAUUAGUCACUACCUUGUGUGGUGAUAGGGUAUAUGAAAAAUACAAAAGUUUUAUGUUUUUAAAUAAUAAAACAAGAAAAUUAAUUAUUUCUAAGCAUGUGGUAUUUGAUGAGGUCAAAUUUUCAUUUAGAAAAACAACAAAAAAAUAAUGAAGUAGAAGAUGUCAGUCAAGAGAAUGAAAUUACAAUAUUCUCUGAACUAGGAGACAUAGCAGGAACAAAAAUGCUCUGUUUAAUCCAGAGGUUGGGCCUCUAGAUAAAGAACAUGUUGAUUUUGCUAACAAACCGUUCCCGAGAUCGCCAAAUCAGGCUCGGCGAGCUCAAGUUUGGACAAUUGAAAUCUGAGCUUGCCUUUAUAAGCAAAAACUGUUAAAUUUCAAGUUCGAGUUCGAGCUCAAGCUUGCUGAUUUUGCUAACGAGUUGAGUCAGAGUUCGGACAAACCAGGCUCAGCGAACUCGAACCAGGACAAUUGUUUAAAGAGAGGAGUCUGAACCCGUCUUUAUAAGCAAAAAAUUGGUUUGACUUGUUUGACACCCUAUAUGGUAUGCAAAAAACAUAAAAAAAACAAUUGCUUUUUAUGCAUUAAAGAACCCCCAAAUUCUCCCCCCACAACCUGAUGCGAAACAGGACGGGUCCAAGAUGACCCCCUAACUACGGUAUAUUACUUGAAAAUAGAUAAAACAUAACUCGAUUAGUUCGAUGAUAACUGUCACUAUUAAGGUAGAUAGACUGUUAGAAUAUUAGUUGAUGAGGGUGGAUCCUGAUCAGUGUUAGACGAUUCUUCAAACAAGCGUUGGAUCAGAAACUCCAUGAAAAUCAGCUCGCGUUCUUCAGUUGCUUAAGAAUUUCUCUCUUGAAUACAACCUACCCGAAUGAAUGAAAGUGGCCCUCUAUUUAUAAGGCAGAUACCUUAUGAGGAUAAUCUGGUAAUUAGGGUCGUAACCGUCUAACUGCUUAGAUCUGACUCCAGGUCGACUUUUCUAGAGGUCGACUUUCCCUGUUCGACUUCCUGGAGUCGACUUUUGGAAAAGUCGACAUGAAAAAGUCGACUUGGAGCCUCCCAUAACCUAUACAGGUGUUUCCAUCAAUUCUGGGCUAUCUGAAUCUCUGAUUGUUGGUGUCGUGACCAAGUCUCGGAUACUGUAUCUCACUAGUAUCUCUCCUUCAUUAUGUACUAGGUUUCAUGAGGGAUGCUUACGGGUACUGUUAAUGCGAUCUGUAUGUCAGAUCCCGUAUUACCAUUAGUAUAUGCAGUUUAAUUUCUAUUUACUAUUGUUUUACGUACCUUAUAAAAAACCCUGAUGUAGAGGCAAAAAACCUAAACACACCUACCAAAAGUCAACCUCUUUUUAAGUGUCCCCAAAACUCUAUUUAUAGAUCGUCUCGUGGACUUGCGGAUCUGAGCCAACAAAAGCCUAGGCUUCGUAAUUGUCGAGGUCUACCCGAGAGAAUGCAUGGUUCGACAGCCGAAUCCAAUGGGCUAACAGAUGUUCUUGUGACCUCACCUGCGAAGGUUGGGCUUGAGCCCAACAUUUGGGGUAUCAUCAAAAACCAAAAUUCAUAGAUUAAAUCUUAAGUGGUCCAGACUAAUUACUCACCUUGAAUAGAUAGAUCUAAGUCAGACCCAAACCCAAACCCAGACCAAGACCAGACCCACCAUAAGUAAUUACAGUAUCGACCAAUUUCUACACUACAGAUUGACAGCUAACAAUCCAUAAUAUUUGAAAUGGAUCAUUUUUUUGUUUGAAUAGAUUUGUAAAUGGAUCAUGUUGUUUGUUGGUUGAAUCAAAUGGUUGAAAAUCAAUCGACAAUGUAAUAAGGUUUGAGCCCCCACACAUGCGACCAUUCAUUAGACAAAUAUUAGACAUUCCCAACAUGGUGCGUUUCUUAAGUCAAACUUAAUUGAUAUGUUUUUUUUCUCUCGAAAAGAUUAUCACCACUACAGAAUCUAAAUAAACAACAUGGUAAUUUCAAAAUUUGUCGGAACAAUAAUUCAAAAUACUCUGAUUAUAUUAUCUAAUUCUAAUAUAUCAUCCGAAAUUAACAUUAUAAAUCUUUCAAAUUUGACUUUCCGAUUCUCGACCCAGUUCAGUUCAGUUCAGUUCGAGUUGAUAAGCAUGAAUAAUAAUAUUGAAAAGAAUAGUUGAACAACUCGUGUCUUGGUAUUUUAAAUUUGGUAAAUUUGUCCCUUUGCAUCUAUUUAAUAUCUAUCUUCCAUUUUUUAAUAAUGAAACUCUAUAGUUUUAGGGAAUAUUCCCAAACUUUAAGUAUUCUAUGUUUUCUUUCAUGAUCAAACAAUUUUAUGAUUAUAUACACAAUUACUGUUAAAAUUUCUGAAGAUUCUGGGUUCAAAUUUUACUGUAUAUAUUUUCAUAUAAGUCUGUUUUCUAGCAUAAUCUGUUGUUGUAAGUCUGUUUUCUUGUAGUAUAUUAAGAUUUUUCGCUAAAAUUAUAGGAGUUUUUCUUUGUGAUGUUCUAUCAUAACUGAUGUUUAUUUUUACCAACUUGGUCGGCUCGACGACUAGCUCUUUCCAGUUAUCGGCUAGAUUUUUGUGUGAUAUAGAUAGAUAGAACUUUAAAUAAAUAUCUCUUGAAUUUAUUGCAAAGUGAAAAAGAUAGGAGGCUUAACACCCAACGUCCAAUAAUCAUUUGCAAUUCAGAUUUUAAGUUUUGUUAAUAAUAUCUCACCUGAUCGUUCUUAUCUUUUUUUUUUGAAAGGAAAAUUAAUAUCAAUUUUAUAGAUGUCUUAUCUUAUAAAAUAAGAUAUUUGAUUUUCAGUUGCAAAGGACAAAAAAAAAUUAAUAAUGGAUCGCGAAAUAUCUUGGAUUUAACAAUAUCUCGCGAGAUUUCUCAUAGAUUUCAAAAAAAUCAGAAUAAAAGUGUGUAAGACCAUGAGACAUGGUAUCAGAAUUAAAUUACAUGGUAUUCAUAUGAUAUGAAUAAAAUAAAUUUAUUGAAUGAGAUUCUAUCUGUGCUAAAAGAGUAAUAAAGAUGAUUUGAAUAAUAUUUAGGAUUUUUUGUAUUUUCAUCUUUCAUUAAAAAAAAUCAGUCGUCGUCUUCCUUUUUCCUUCAUCUUACAAAGUACAUAUAAAUGACAAAUUUUGGACACAACAAAUCAGGCUUAAACCCACAAGAUCACACCCUACAGCAGCCGAUGCUGCAGCCGACAACCGCCACUGGCACAGCUACAAUGGAAGAACAAGGAUCCGACAUCGCCCAACAGGGAAAAAUCGCGCCGUCGUCUUUCUUGAGUAUCGGAGAGUAUGGAAAAUCACUGAUGCAGACCUACCGGAGAAUUCGUCGGAGAGCCGGAUCGGUGACGACGACGUAUGAGGAGAUGAGUCGAGUGAGAGCACGAUCGGGACCGGAUAUGGAGCGGUCUCUUCGUUGGUACGAUCUUGUGGGGUUAGGUGUUGGUGGAAUGGUUGGUGCCGGUGUUUUCAUCACGUCCGGUCGUGGUGCGGAAACGGCGGGUCCAGCUGUUGUUUUUUCGUUUGCGAUUGCCGGACUGUGUGCUUUGCUCUCUGCUUUUUGCUACACCGAGUUCGCAGUCGACAUGCCUGUCGCCGGUGGUGCUUUCAGUUACCUCCGAGUGACCUUUGGUGAAUUAGCGGCGGUAAUUACGGGAGCGAAUUUAUUGAUGGAAUAUGUGUUCUCGAAUGCGGCAGUUUCUCGGAGUUUCACGGCGUAUUUAGGUUCUGCUAUCGGAAUCAAUACAAUCGAAACAUGGAGGAUAACGGUGACAUGGUUACCGGAAGGGUUCAAUCAGAUAGACUUUCUUGCCGUCGGCGUAGUUCUUGUCAUUUCUCUUAUUAUUUGCCACAGGUAUCGAUGCUCUCUAAAAAUAAAAUAAAAUAAAAAACCUUUUUUUUUAAUGCUUCGUGUCGUUUUGUCCAUUAUCUCCGGCAGUGUUUUCACUGUCGGAAAUCAGACAGUUUGUAGUUUGUAUGUACAUUUACAGUAAAUUUAUAAAUUUUUAUAUAUGAUUAGACCAUUCAAUCUUGCACUGUUCAUAUACAGUACAAAGGAGAGCUCGAUUCUCAACAUGAUCCUCACCGGAAUCCACCUGGUUUUCAUCUUUUUCAUCAUCGCCGUCGGUUUCUGGAAAGGUGACUUGAAGAACUUCACACAUCCGGCAGAUCCUUCAAAACACGCCGGAGGUUUUUUCCCAUUCGGCGUAUCUGGUGUCUUCAAAGGAGCUUCCAGCGUCUACCUGAGUUACAUUGGAUAUGACGCCGUCUCUACCAUGGCUGAAGAGGUUAAAUCUCCGACGCACGACAUACCAAUCGGCGUCUCCGGUUCUGUCGCCCUCGUCACCGGUCUCUACUGCCUCAUGGCUGCUUCUAUGUGCAUGCUCGUUCCUUACGAUGCGAUCGACUAUAACAAUCCAUUCUCGAAGGCCUUUGAUGAUAAGGACGGAUGGGGAUGGGCGGAGAACGUCAUCGGUGCCGGAGCCAGCUUCGGAAUACUGACGUCGAUGAUGGUUGCAAUGUUAGGUCAGGCGAGAUACCUCUGUGUUCUCGGAAGGUCAAAUGUGGUCCCUACCUGGUUAGCUGAAGUCAACCCUAAAACAUCAACCCCAGUUAACGCUACGGUUUUUCUCGGCGGACUGACGGCCGCAAUUGCAAUUUUUACAGAUUUAGAAGUUCUCUUAGAUCUCGUUAACAUCGGAACACUCUUCGUCUUCUACAUGGUAGCCAACGCGGUGGUUUUCCGACGGUACGUCGCCAAAGAAGUAACCAACCCAACACCGACGAUCACAUUCCUGCUAUCGUUCUCACUCAUCUCCCUCGCAUUCACAGUCAUCUGGCAUCUCGCCGAGACUAGCAUUGCCAAGGUGGCUAUGCUAUGUCUCUGUGCCGUUCUAGGGAUCACCGCCGUUCAGUCGUUCAAGAUUUUCGUACCUCAGGCGAGGAAACCAGAGUUUUGGGGCGUGCCUUUCAUGCCGUGGGUACCGGCGUUCUCUAUCUUCUUGAAUCUGUUUCUGAUGGGAGAUCUGAAUAAGUCGGCGUAUAUCAGAUUCUUGGGCUUCACCGCCGUCAUCUUGGUGUUUUAUGCUCUGUACGGCGUCCACGCUAGCUUCGACGCCGAGAAAAAAAACAAUGGAAACGUCAACUCCGUCAGUUUAGUCAUUGACACCUUCCGGUGAUCCAUGACCAAAUGUUUCGUAAUUCACUAAUUCGUAAAGGGUUAAUUUAAAAAACAUCCCUAUAGUUCUAUGAAACUAUCUUUUUUAUUAUUUUAAGGACCCAAUUUAUGUAUUUUAAUUUGAGUAUUUUAAUGUCUUACUUAAAUAUUUUACCCUCGAUUGUCAAAAAUAAAAUAAAAAUUAAAUUAAUCAAUUACAACUUUUUUAUUUUUCUUCUUCCAGCAAUCACAUAUAUAAUCUUAUAAUUGCAUGAAAAUGACAUAAAUUAAAAAGAUCAGUACAAGAAGUCCAAUAUUAUUUCAUCAAUAAUUGCACUUUAUUAAUUAUUAUGGUGUGUGAAUGUGUGGUCGUAAUUACCUUUCUGUUACGUGCACGUUGAAAUGAGAUCAGAUAUUAUUUUUUUAAACAAUUAAAUUUCAUUAAAAAUAAAGACAAUAUCCAAAUUACAAAAUAAAAAAGAUCAAAGAUAUCUUCCUUUACUUAAAAUAUAAGUACUUAAAUUGACGAAAAGUGAGUCAUCAAUUAUUAAAAUUGACUUUUGACAUCAAUCAAUCCCUCUCUAGGAAAAAAAAAUUGAUUCCCCAAAAAGAUCAUAGGAAAAAGAUGGUUCAAACAAAUAAUUAAUAAUUCAAAUGUUAUAUCUCAUUUAUAAUUGUUUCAUCUGAAUCUUUAUUUCUACAAUCGGGCAACUCAGGGUCUAUUUUUAUAACAAAAUGUAUCUUUGUACAAGUAAAAAAAUCUACCUUACAGUGAUAUUUCAGAGUUAAAAUUACAUAUACAACCAGACUAAAACUCUAAUACAAAGUAUUAGAACAAGUUGGUGUCAAGUGAUUCAACUAGGUAUAAAUAUGUCACAUCUUAAUGUAUUGAAAAUCAAUUGGAAUUCACAUUUUAUAUAAAGAGAGAAUAAAAGUAGCUUCUAUUUAUCAUUUUCAUGUAUUGCUUUGAGUUGGAGAUCAUUUCAAUGUGAUCAAUGCAUAUAUAUAUAUAUAUAGAUGCUUGAUGGAGAUUGUCGAUCAUGACACAAGGUUUAUCUUUAAUUUUAAGUAUUGUAGAUUGUCGACCAUGACACAACUUGUAAUAGCUUGCGAAACACAGAAGUAGUUGAUGCCUUUUGCUCUACGUGAGAUUGAAGAACACUACAAGAAAAAGACAUUUUCACGUUCAAUCAAGUUAGUCUUAAAUUCAAGAUAAUUGGUCCCUAUUUCAAAAAGAUUUCAAACACAUCACCUUUAAAAACCUUAAUAAUUACUGUAACUAGUUGAUCCUAAUCUUUUUGUGUUGGUUGUGUAUAAUAAUAAUAUUUUAUAGAUGUAUAAAAUAAUGCAGACCCCAGAUUUCUGGUUUUGGGUACAUAUAUCGUUACAAAUUACAUAAGCAGUAUUUUAGGCAUACAAUGUUAGCAUAUGAGGCGUCAACUUUAUCCUAAAAAAAUGAGAGGAAAUAAAAUUGUCGUCUGAGUGAUCAUUUUUCGCGCUUGGGACAUCAACUUUUUUUAUUCUCGUGUAAACAAAUUGGGGUAAACAAAAUUAUCGUUCGAGGGAUGUUCUUCAAUUGCUGAUCCACAACAUGGUAAAAAAAGGAAGUUAAGAUUGAUUAACCGUCAGGCAAACUCGUCUCCUUAAAUAGAGAGUAAGUAUUAUUAUAUUUAAAUCAAUUGUUUUUCUAUGCUGAACUUCUAUAGACCUUAAUUUUUUAAUAUAUAAAACAACUUAUUCAAAAAAAAAAAUAUAUCGCUCGAGUCGUCAGUGGAUGGGGAUGAUCAGAGUAGAGAGACAGAGAGAUUUUACAACUAUUUUAAUUCAUAAACUUGAAUUAUAAAUGAUGACUGGGAAAUCACACCAGUACUCGGUGGUGCGAGUACACGAAACAUGCUAUGUGUUAAGUCUUCAGGCGAGAAUCGUCUAUUAGAACCCAGAGUCGACGAUGGCUCCGUAAGUAUAGCUCUCAAAUGGGUGAAAUUGAUGCUCUUGGGGUCCUCUUUUAUAGGGUCUCCAAGAGUGCGUUCUAAGGCGGGGAUCACGCUUUGGUCAUUAAUGUGGCCAAGCUGGCCUCAAGAAAUGCCCGAAGAUCAUCGCGUGAUUUACUAAGGGAAAUCGUCUAUUCUCUAGAAGGAAGUUUGGGAUGGCCAUUGUAGUAGAUUUCCCUAGACGAUAUUAAAGAGUUCUUUGCCCCUUUUAAAGACCUUUGGUUAUGUGUUUGUGGGAGCCAUCCAGAGGUUCGGUCUAAAGCGAACAUAACCCUAAUUCUUGUUGAUGGUGAUGACAAGUAUACGAUCUUAUAUCAUUAGUAGUUUUGGAUUUUAUAGUAACCUAAUCACAACAUGUGAAAUGAUCGAAUAACUACAAGCAAUUGAAAUUGUAUAAUAGUGUUAUGUGGUCUCUAACACUUAGCGAUUAAUUAUUAUUUUGACUUCGUGUCAAAAUUAGAUCAAAAAAUCUUAUUGGUAGCAGAGUAAGCUCUGAUGUACGUAGUCCGCCAUAGCUGGGAGAGGACGCUUCAGGCGUUUAGACGGAGUCGAUAUAAUCAUAUCAUCAUUCACUUCUUCAGGAACGAGAACAUUUUCGAACUCAAGAUCUUCUGGAAAAGAAACUUCUACUGGUUCGUCUCAUUGUUUAUAUAUAUGGUUUGAAAAGAGAUACAUGGAACACAUCAUAUAUUUUAGCAGUCUUUGGUAGAUCCACCUUGUAUGCAACUUUCCCAAUUUUUGCGGCAACUCAGAACGGUUCGAAGUACUUGUGCUCCAACUUGUUUGAAUUGCGUUGUUCCACCAAUGGUUGUCUAUAUUUUUCCAACACUUGAGCGAUCAUCUACCGAAUAGUAGAUGUCUAGCUAGUCGUUUCUUUUCGGCAUUUUAAUUUCUUGAUCGUUGUUGAUGUUUUGGAUCGUGAUUCGAGACUAUAAGAGCCGGGUGAAUAAUCUUUUUUCGCGUUUUAUAGGAUUUUAUUAAAUGGACCACAUAAGUAAAAUUACUUUUGUAACCUCAACGGCUGUCAUUAAUCUUCGACGCAUGCUUCCAAGGCGACGGUUCAGUUCCCGACCGUUUGGCUACUCUAUAUAAACAUAAGGAUACAGCUUUGAAAGGUUAACGUUCGAUUUAUACAUUUUGGAAUUCAAAAGAUCUGAUCUAUAUUGUGAAUAGCUUCCGGUCUUUCUUGCGAUCCUCGUCGGUGCAUAUUCAUCUUUCGAUAUCUGUCUUCAUUCCUCGGAUCUUCACACUCCCGUGGAACUCGAUCAUCUUACAAUAACCAUUUAUUACAUAUUCUUAUCAAUCAUAUCUCCUGCACUAUCAUAUCGAGUAUAUCUGCUGCAUCAUCAUACAAUGAAUCAGUUCUUGCUAUUACGAUAAUAUAGUCAUUCUCUCAGUCGAUCCGACUUUAGCAUUGCUCAAUAAUCAUCACACGUGAUUCUGGAUUGCAUUGUCAUCAUAUCGUGUUUUCUUAGAAUAUUUAAACAACAGUUCUUAUAUAAGUUUCAUCAUAUCAGUUUAUAGACAUUUAUGUAUUCUAUCAUUUCUUGUUAAGAACUACUUCAUUCCAUAUAUAUAUAUAUUUGAUUAGUUAAAGUAGCAUAUUCCAUUCAAAUCUGUAUUAGAUUUUACAUGGUAUCAGAGCGGUAAGAUCCAAACCGUUUCUAGAAACAAGUUAAAUUUUUUUCUUCCUCUUUAAGAAGAAAAAUCACAAAAUCUAUAGUUUUUUUUUCAAAAAAAAAGGGGGGACUUUCUUUCAUUUGGAUCCCGAAGAUUCCCUCUUCUUCUGCAACUUCAGCUCCUUCUUGAGCCAUCUAGCAUAGUCAGAGUCAGCUUCUGCCUUCUCCUUUCCUUUUUGCAGCAACUGAAGGAAUUAAGCAUAAUCAGGGUCUACAUUUUCAUCGUCAUUCAACUCCGCUUUCUCUUUUCACUUAUCAUUUUUAAUCUCAUUUUCAUUCGAGUCAUCCUUUAUUUUCUGAACAUUAACUCCCAGCAUAAACAUAUUAAAGUACUCAUUAGCCUCAGAAUUAGAGCUAAAUCCAUAGAUCCCACCAUUCUUCAUAGCAUCAGUAUCAUAAUUCUCAUCAAAUCUGCUAUCCCAGUCUGAAAGAUAAUUCUCUGGAGAAUGAUACUCCCACUUCCAGUUGUGAGGCCUAGGAGCAUUCUCCAAUUUUGAAUGAAUCCCAUUUCUCCAGUUGUAAUCCAUCCACUCCAUGAAUGGAUCAUGAAAUACUUCUCCUUCUCCUUUCUUCCUCUUUCUAGUUGCCCUUCUUAUCAUUGUAGCUUCAUCAACAGUGGGCUCUGGUUGUUGAAUAUCAGACUCAACCACCAUUAAGUGAUCCACACACUCGACAGUUUUUUUCUCAGCAUCAUCUAUCUCUACCAUUUGUUUCUUAGAAUUCUCUUUGUUCAAAGAUUCAACAUAAUCAGAAAGAAUAUCUGCAGAUAAAAUGGAAGAAGUCAACAAUCAAAUAAUGCAAAAUGUUCUCACAAGGGAAGAAAAUAUUUAUGGCUCAGAUGCAACUUCACACUUCACAGUACCUAUCAAACUAGAUGGAAAUAAUUAUCCCAUCUGGAAAAAGCAUUUCGAAAUGGUUGUGAGUGGAAGGUCAAAAUUGCCCUUCUUACUUGGGGAAGCACCUAAACCAGAUGUCAUCACAAACCCCAAAGAGUACAGGAAAUGGAAAGCUUACACUGACAUGGUACAUUCAUGGCUGUUGAGUUCAAUCACAACAGAUUUACAACCAUCUUUUCUCACAGCAAAUGAUCCAUGGACCCUCUGGGCAGAGUUAAACACAAAAUAUAACCAAGAAAAUGUUGCUAUGUUAUAUGAUGUUCUAGUACAAACCUAUAUACUAUAUCAAGGUCAGGACUCUGUUUGUACCUAUUACACAAAACUCACCAAGCUAUGGAACACUUAUGAUACAAACAAAGAAAACAACAAUCCUCCAGAUGAAUUUGAAAGAUCUGUAAAAUUCUUCAUGGGCUUAAAUGAGACAUUCAAGAGUUCUAAUGGCACAAAAGCCCACACCUACUCAUGGGGAACUGUAUCCAAUUAUAAAACAAGAGGAGCCACACAGCUCCUACUGAAGUGAGUACAACCCUACUUGCAAACAACUCAGGAGUGUACAUACCUUCUAGACCAGAAACUAGGGAAAGGCCUUUCUGCACUCACUGCAAGAGACCAAGGCAUACUGCAGAGAACUGUUACCAAGUACAUGGAUAUCCAGAUAAGCAAAAUGGAAACACUUCUCAGAACUUCAGGAGAUAUAGGCCAUACAAUCAAACAAGAAGUCAUCUAAGGAGAGACAACGGGAAUUUCAACAGAAACUACAAUGGAAACAGACAAAUCUCAAAAUCAAACAACACAAAUAAUGUUGAAAAUCAAAAAGAAUCUCUGGAACAUCAAUGGACUGAAAAUGAGAAUUUUGAAGAUCAUAACAUAUAUAGAUGACCAAUAUGAGAAUGAACAUCAGAAUGAGAGAUGAGUCAACAAUACAAGAAGCAAACCAAACAUCACAAUUACAAAUGAACAAUUAAUGAUGCUUCUGGAUAAACAGGAUGGUCCCGGACCCAAACACUCAGCUAAUGUGGGGAGAGCCAUAAGAGAAUCAUCAUCAACCCCAACACAUGGAACCCACAGGUAAACAUUCAUACUGUUUUAUUUCAACAGUAAAUGAAGGUAAAGAUUGGGCGAUUGACAGUGGAGCCACAGAACACAUGUGUGGUCCCCAGAUCCAACUGUCAAACAUAAGGACUCUAACAAAAACCAAUCAGAUUUCACAUGCCUAACUCACACACAUCAAUAGUAUGUGAAGUAGACACCUAUCUCCUAAAUGAAUUUUUAACACUGGAUAAUGUGCUAAAAAUUCCCAACUUCAAUGUCAAUUUGAUAUCAGUUAUCAAAUUGACAAAAUCAAUCAACUGCGCUUUCUUAUUCUACUAUGAUUAUUGUCUUAUACAGGAUUCGAAGAUGAAUUCGAUUUUUAUGGGUAAGAGAAAGGAAGGACUCUAUAUCUUAUCCACAGAAGAGAUGAAAAAAGAAAAUCGGAAGACCAAAGCAUACACAACAAAAUCAGCAUCUUCAGAACUAUGGCAUAAAAGAUUAGGACAUCCUUCUGUUCUAAGAUAUAAUCUAAUUAGGAAAAACUCUUUAUCUAUUCCUGUUUUUAAAGAACAUGUAUGCAAAAUUCACAAGGUUACCUUUCCCUAAAAGUAGCUCUAAGACUACUAAAUUUUUUGAAUUAUUGCAUGUUGAUGUAUGGGGAAAAUACAAAACACCAACACAUAAUAACCACCAUUAUUUUUUAACUACAGUAGAUGACUAUAGUAGAGCCACGUGGACAAUACUAAUGCAUAAUAAAGGGGAAACAUCACAAAAACUCAAAAAGUUUAUAAAGGAAGCCAUCAAUCAAUUUAAUGUUUCCUUAAAAACUAUAAGGUCAGAUAAUGGGACUGAGUUCCUAAACACAGAACUUAAAAUCUUCCUAAAAGAUCUUGGCAUAAAACACCAAUUAUCGUGUCCUUACACCCCACAACAAAACUCAGUGGUAGAAAGAAAACAUAGACAUAUCAUAGACAUAGCUAGAUGUUUAAUGUUUUAAUCAAAAAUAUCUGAAACAUACUGGGGAGAAUGUGUCCAGACUGCAUGUUACCUCAUUAAUAGGAUACCAUCUCCUAUAAUCAACAAUGAAACACCAUACUACAGAUUAUUUCAAAAAGAAUCUUCUUAUGAGAAUCUAAGAGUUUUUGGCUGUUUAUUUUUCUUCAAAAUUAAUAAACCUACACAAAAAUUUGAUCCCAGAGCUACAAAAGGAGUACUCCUAGGGUAUUCUACACAAAGCAAUGGAUAUAAGGUACUAGACUUAGAAAGUAAUGAGAUACACACCAGUAGAGACGUAGUCUUCUAUGAAACAGUCUUUCCAUUCAAAGGCAAAAUCACAGAAACGUCUGAAAGUGACACUAUUCUUAUAGAUACCGAAGACACAAUGGAAGAAGACACAGAAAACUCAGAAAAAUGCAAACAUAAGAGAGGAACCAAAUACAUAAAACAUAACACAAAAUCUAGAGGAACCGGUAGUCAAUCAGAAUGAAGAAAGGAUCCUAAGAUCCACAAGAGAAAAGAGGAAACCAACAAAAUUAAAAGACUGCAUAUACUACAACUUAACAAAAUAUCCAAUAAAUAACCAUCUAGGAUAUAAUAAAUUCUCUGAAAAACAAAAAGCAUUCCUCACAAAAAUAUCAGAACACAAAGAACCAAAAGGUUACACACAAGCUAGCAAACAAGAACAUUGGCAAAAGGCCAUAAAACUAGAAAUUAAUGUAUUAAAACAAAAUGACACAUGAAAAAUAGUAGAGGUACCCAAGGAAACAAAAACUAUGGGAUGCAAAUGGGUGUACAAAAAAAAAUUACAAGCCGAUGGUUCCUUAGACAAAUACAAAGCCAAACUUGUCGCUAAGGGUUACAAUCAGAUAGAAGGAAUUGACUACACUGAAACAUUUGCAUCAGUCUCAAGGAUGACAACUCUAAGGACUUUGAUAUCCAUAGCAUCCACCGAGGGUUGGCACUUGCACCAAAUGGAUGUACAAAAUGCCUUCCUUCAUGGAAACUUAAACGAAGAAGUCUACAUGAACAUCCCUCAAGGACUGAGAAUCAAACAAGAACCAAAGAGAAACAACAAACCAGCAUACAAAUUAAAUAAAUCUCUAUAUGGCUUAAAACAAGCCUCCAGGAUGUGGUUCACCAAAUUAAAACAAGUACUAGAAAAACUAGGAUUCCAACAAACAAAAUCAGACUAUGCACUAUUUAAGAAGAUCAAUAGGAAAGAUAAAACAUUCAUCUUGGCAUAUGUUGACGAUCUGUUAAUCACUGGAAACAAUAUCAACAUAAUCCUAGAACUAAAGAAGAAAUUAACAAACUUUUUCAACAUCAAAGAUUUAGGAAAACUGAAAUUUUUUCUUGGAUUAGAGUUUACUAAAACAAAAGAUGGGAUUUUCAUUAGUCAAAGACAAUAUGCACUAGAAAUAUUGGAACAAUAUAAUUACAUACACGCAAAACCCAGGGAAAAUCCAAUAUCAACACCAUCUGAAGCAAAAAUUAAAACAGAAGAAAUUCUGAAGGAUCCCACAGAAUAUAGACAAAUGGUUGGCAAACUAGUAUACUUAACAGUAACUAGACCUGACAUUACACACGAUGUAAAUGUUUUAAGUCAGAAAAUGGCCAACCCAACAGAAGGGGACUCAAAAAAGGUAAACAAAAUUUUAAGAUUGAUGAGGGUGAAACCCGAUCAGUACUCCAAGACGUUCCAACAAGCGCCAAGCGGGGAACUCCGCGGGAAAUCGGACCGGAACUCAAGUGCGCAGAGCUCUGCUUCGCUAGGAACUCUCUACUCCAAAUGACUUGCCUCAAAUGAGUGGGGGUGCCUCCUAUCUAUAGGGAUUCUUAUGGGGGGUAAUCUGGUCAUUUGGGCAGUAAACGCCUAACUGAUUAGAUAGGGUCCCAAGGUCGACUUUCCAGAGAUCGACUUUCUCGGGAUCCGACUUUCUCGGGAUCCGACUUUCCUGGGGUUCGACUUUUCUCAGAAGUUGAUCCCAGGGAAGUCGAUCCUCCUAGGAUUCGACUUGGGACCUCCCCAAUCCUAGAAUAGGUACCUCAACUCAUCUUAAGCUAUCCGGACUUCUAGUUGCUGGAAAGUUGUGAUCGGGUUCGGGAUACUGUAUCACCAGUACUCCCCCCUCCUCUGCAUAUUAGAUAUCUUGAGAUACAUUUUUUAGUACUAUGGUCUGUGUGUUGAAUCCUGUACUAUCAGUAUUCCCCCUCUUUGCGUGUUGGGGUGUGGGCUAUCGGUGAUGUCCUAGGAUGCGAGAUCCUCUCUCACCAGUUCUCCCCCCCUUCUACGACCGCGAGGUUAUACCUAUGCUUCCACGGAGGUUGUCACAUGCUUUCGCUAACUAUUGUUCGGUUUGUCCUAGCCGAAACAUACUCCUUGCGCAGCUUGCCUAGCCCGAUUUUCGAGCGGAACCCUGCUUGCCCACCUUGACGCCUUGCUGAGCUGUCUCCGAGCAAUGUUCGAGUACCUCUUCCCUCUUCUGUGGUUGGAGUUGAGUAUUGUCCCUUCUACCUAUUUUGUUUUAUAGGUGAAGUUCUCUUUUGAACUCUUGCCCCCUUCUUCUGCUCGCUGCUUCCGCGGCUGAGGUUGAGUGUGGCCCCUCGUCUACCUAUGUUCUUCCAUAGAUGAGGUCCAUUUUUUGAACUCUUGCCCCCUCCUUCUGCUCGUUGCUUCCGCAGCUGAGGUUGAGUGUGACCUCUCAUCUACCUAUGUCCUUCCAUAGGUGAUGUCUAUUUUUUGAACUCUUGCCCCCUCCUUCUGCUCGCUGCUUCCGUGGCUGAGGUUGAGUGUGGCCCCUCGUCUACCUAUGUUCUUCCAUAGGUGAGGUCCAUUUUUUGAACACUUGUCCCUUCAUAGAUGGGAUGUGUGUUCUUUUGCUGUGUCCCUCAUCUAACUAUGUUCUUUCAUAAGUGAGGUUUAUUUGAAUAUUUGCCCCUCUAUUCAUGUUCUUCCGUAGAUUAGGUUAAGUUCUUUUGGCCGGUGUGUUCCUCGACUACUUACGUUCUUCCGUAAGUGAGGCUCACUUUUGCGUAUAUCUCCCCCUGUCUACGUUCUUUGUAGAAGAGGAGAAUGCUUUGCCGGUGUGUCCCUCGUCUGCCUACGUUCUUCCGUAGGUGAGGUUCACUUUUGAGCACAUCCUCCGUCUACCUACGUUCUUCCGUAGGUGAGGUUCACUUUUGAGCACAUCCUCCGUCUACCUACGUUCUUCCGUAGGUGAGGUCUACUCUUGGACACUUCCCUUUAAGCCUACGUUCUUUGUAGGUUGGCAUGUGCCGUGUUCCCCGUCUACCUACGUUCUUCCAUAGGUGGGGUUUGUUUUUACUCACCCUUUUGUCUACGUUUUUUUUUGUAGAUGUGGUGAGUGUUUUCGGAUGGGGUACGCGUCCUGACCCUGUUACUACUAAGACUUUCUCCACCUACGUUCUUCCGUAGGUAGGGUUAAUUUGGUGUCCUACUUUGUUACUGCGUCCAGUAAUUGUAGGAGUUCAAAUAUCUUAGAGUGGCCCAGUUCAUUCUGCUGUCGUGCCGUCAUCGGUGCUAUUCUUCCUUGGUGGACUUCCAUAAUAUUUUAGGAGUAUUUUGCCUACACCCCCUGCCUUGGUGACUUUCAAGGUCUCAUGAGUGUUUUUCCUACACCCCCUGCCUUGGCGAACUUCCGCAAUAUUCCAAUACAUCAGGGUUCUUUUUUCGACUUUGUUUUGCACAAAAGUCGAAGGGCAACAUUCGUAUCGACUUUUAUAGAAAAGUCGAUCCCUCGGGUCCUUGUAUUGACUUUUUUGCUAAAAGUCGAUUCCUGGUGUUUUGGCCAAAAAGUCGAGUCCUCGUGCUGAUCUUGGAAGGAUUGUCCUUCUGAUCAGUUUUACUCUGUUUUUUUCCUUUUGUGCAGACCUGGGGUCUAUAAAUAGAGCCUUUAGGUCCUUCCUUUCCUUCAUCCAUGGCUCUUCUUGUGAGUAUCUUCGCUGAUUUUAUUCAGGGAGAGAUUGAGGAGCUGAAUCGAAUUCUGAAUAUUUUGGAUCCUCGGUCUUCGGCCUUGGAUCUUCCUGCUCUGCGCCAAAUAAUUGUCGAGCGGCAGAGUGUUGAUGUUACAGUCAGGGAAUCAAUAUUUGAAGAAUGGUCCGUUGGUGAUCUUCCGACUGUUGUUUCUCCUUCUGCCCCUCUACGUGGUCGACGCCGGAGGCGUCCCCGACGCGAUGUUUCUCCGCCGGGUCAGGUUCCUCGUCGCUUGCGUCGCCGUAUUAACUUUAACUAGGGACUUGUAAUAUUUUCAUUCUUUUUACUUGUAAUUCUGAAUAAAGAUAUUUUUCCCUUUUUUCCCACUUGUUUUACACAUUUACUCUGAAGUACGUCGGUGUAGUUUGCGGGUAUACUUCUUCCUUUUUCCUAAGGAUUUCCUUUGUGGCGAUCGACUUUUUUAGAAUGUCGAUUCCCUAAAGUCGAUGCUUUCUGUUGGUCGAUCCCAUCCUUUUCUGAAGAUGUCGAAGUUUAUACAGAAAGUCGAUCCCAUCUCUCCUUGGAGAUGUCGACGUCGUAUAAAAGUCGAUCUCGUCUUUUCCUGAGGAUGUCGAUGUCGUGUGAUGGUUGACUCUUUCCUUUUCUGAGGAUGUUGACGAUCAUACCGAAAGUCAAUCUCAUCUCUCCCUGAAGAUGUCGACGUCGUAUGAAGGUCGAUCUUAUCCUUUUCUAAGGAUGUCGAUGUCAACUGUGAAUGAUAUUUUAAUGUCGACGUCUAUCCCCCUCUGAGGAUGUCGAUCUGAGUAUUUGUGGAAUGUCGAUUCUGUCCUUCUCUUGCGAAGGGUGUUGAUUCCAAGGUAAAUGUCGACGUCUAUUCCCCUCUGAGGAUGUCGAUCUGAAUCUUGAUGGGAUGUCGAUCCUACCCUUCUUUUGGGAGAUGUCGAUACCCAAUCAUUAAAUGUCGAUGCUCUUGUUCUGAAAUGUCGAUGCCAUUUGGUCGGAUUUUCGCGGACUCGGGCGUCUUGGGCCUGCCGGGCCCAUGGGCUUUUCGGCCCAUAGGGUGAACAGUGCCCGCGACGGUUUGUCUUCGACUUUCCCCUAUAAAUAGUGGAGGGGGGGUCAUUCGCUUCUCACCUACUUCCUUCGCUCUGAGGCAUCGACUUUCCAGCUUCUUCGCUUCGACUUCCAGCGCGCGUAAGGCUUCGACUUAAGCCUUGGAGGUGCAACUUUCUGGGGUCCGACUUCUGUGGUCGGGUUCUGUUGAAGUUGCACUGGGUCCGACUUUUCUCAGAGUCGGUCCUCCUUGAAGUUGUUUCCCUUUUGGACUGUGGUCCGACUUUGUGAAGUCUGACUUUUUGUCAUCGACUUUUCAGAGUUGGGCCCAAUAUUACUGGGAUUGACUUCCUGGACUUAACUUUUGAAGUUGCUUUCCCAAAGUGACCUCCCUUAGUCCGACUUCCUGAAGUCCGACUUUUGUCAUCGACUUCCCUGGAUCGGAUCUGUUGGGAUCGACUUCCUGAGACUCUAACGUAAGUUGUGUCUCCUGAAGUUGUCUUCCCUGUGAUUCGACUUUCUGAAGUCCGACUUUUUCUGGUCGACUUCUAAAGUUGUAUCAUUGCGGGGAUCGACUUCCUGGUAUUCUAACUUUUUUGAAGGUAGUUUUCUGAAGUUGUCUCUCCUUGAAUUAUAGUGCGAUUUCCUGAAGUCUGUAUACUGAUGAAAAGUGGAUUCUAGUGCCCAUGUUCUUGCACAAUCUCGUAAACUCCCCACCGGUAAACUGUGUCCCGUUAUCUGUCACUAUGUGCAUUGGAAUGCUGAAUCUGCACAUUAUGCACUUAAAGACAAAUUUCGUUGCCGCUCCUUGUGUUAUCUUGGGUACUGCCAAAGUCUCGACCCAUUUUGUGAAGUAAUCGACAGCCACGAAUAUGAAUUUAGCCUGGCCUGUAGAUACCGGAAAUGGUCCCACAAUGUCUAGUCCCCACAUUGCGAAUGGGAUGGGGCUUUCUACCCCUGUUAGUUGAGUUGCGGGAUUUCUUUGUAUGUUUUUAUGUAUCUGGCAAGCCUUGCACUUUCUUGCAAAUAGGACUGCAUCUUUCUUUAGUGUGGGCCAGAAGUAUCCCUGCCUUAUUAUUCUUUGGGCUAGAGAUCUUCCCCCUUAAUGUAUCCCGCACACCCCCUGAUGAAUUUCCUCUAAAAUGAAUUGCCCUUCAUCUGUUGAGAUACAUUUCAUUAGAGGCCCAUCGUAGGAUUUCUUGUACAGGAUGUCACUGAUUAGGCAGAAUCUUGGAAUGCGCGUUUGUAAUUUACGCCUUUCAUUUUUGUUUUCUGGGAGUUUUUGCCCUUCAAAGUACUCUAUCAAAGGUUUUCUCCAGUCUUCUGCCUGUAUUGUGACCAGAUUGCAUGAAGGUGUAAAUGCUGAGUCAACCAGUAUCUCUCUCUGUCCCCCUUCGAAAGCGGAUGUUAGCUUUGCCAGGGCAUCAGCUGAGUUGUUUUGACUCCUUGAAAUCUGUUCUACCUCCACCUUAGUAAACUGCAGUUUUAUUUUUUCUAGUGUAACUGCGUACUGCAUGAUCAGAGGAUCUUUAACUGUGAAUUCCCCUGUAAAUUGCUGAGCUACUAAUUGAGAGUCUGUUCUAAUAAUUACUGAGCAAGCCCUCAAUCUUUUGCGUAUUUUCAUGCCUUGGAUUACAGCCUCAUAUUCUGCUAUAUUGUUUGUAGCUGAUAAUUGUAAUCUGACAGAGUGUUCAGCUAUCCUUUGGUCUGGAGUGAUUACUUUUAUUCCCACUCCUGCACCUGUACUGCAGCUUUAGCCGUCAACCUCUACUAUCGAGGCGGUGUUGUUUCUAAUAUCGCUGUUAUAUUAUCUGGGUUUGGUUUUAUUCCCUUCUCCCUACAUAGAAUCCAAGAAACUUUCCUUCUUGUACUCCAAAGCUGCAUUUGGCGGAGUUUAACCGCAUCCCAUAACUCUGUAGAGUUUCCAGAGUUUCCUUCAGAUCAUUUGGGUGUUCAUCUGCUUUCUUGGAUUUCACCAGAAUGUCAUCUACGUACGCCACGACAUUUCUUCCUUCUUGUUUUUUGAAAACCUUGUCCAUUAGCCUUUGGAAGGUUGCUCCUGCGUUUCGUAGUAUGAAGGGCAUGACUUUGUAGCAGUAUGUUCCCCAAUCUGUGAUAAAUGAUGUGGCUUCUUCAUCCUCUUCUUUCAUCAGAAUUUGAUUGUACCCUGAAUGCGCAUCCAUCAUAGAUAACAAUUCAUUUCCUCAAGCCGCAUCUGCUAAUCUGUCGAUGGACGGGAGUGGAUAGUUGUCAUUUGGACAUGCUUUGUUGAGGUUUGUGAAAUCUACACACAUCUUCCACUUCCCGUUGGAUUUCUUAACCAUGACUGGGUUAGCUAGCCAUUUUGGGUACUUAACUUCCCGAAUGUGCCCAACCUUGAUUAACUUCUCGAUUUCAGCCUGUGCUGCUUCAUUUCUUUCGGCUGCGAGUAUCCUUUGCUUUUGCCGUAUAGGAGUAAAGCUAUUGUCUAUGUUGAGCUCAUGGCAUGUUAUGGUGCGCUGUACCUGUGAGGGUGUUUCCCCCUCCCAUACGAACGUAUGCACAUGAGUCUCUAAUAAACAAAGUAAUGAAUUUUUUAACUCGGAGGAUAUAGAUGUACCUAUCAAGAUUCCUCCUUUUGAGAGUUUGACCUCCUCAACUUGAUUAGUUGAGGUUGUGUCUUCUUCUUCCUCUCUUUCCUGGAUGUACAGGGUUAUUGGUUUGGCCAUUUUAUUUGUCUUCCUGUACGAGUUUCUUGAGUCUUUCUGUGCUCCACAAACUGUUGCCAUUUUACAAUCCUUUCCUGGAUACCUGAAGCAUUGGUGGUAAGAUGACGGUAUUGCCUUGAAACCGUGAAUGCUAGGUCUGCCCAGGAUCCCAUUGAAUGGAGAAUCUAUGUUGACCACAAUGAAAUGUGCCGUGCGUGAGACUCUCCCAUUUCUUUUCCCUAGGGAUAUCUGUAAGUCGAUGGCUCCUACUACUGGGGUCUUUGUGUUUGUGAACCCGUAUAUGGCUUCCUUGGCCGGGGUUAAUUGUUUCACUUUGUAGCCCAUUUUUUCAAAUGCAGCUAGGUACAGUAUGUCCACUGAGCUGCCAUUGUCCACCAUUACUUUACUCAGACUUAAAUCAUCCCCAAUGUCCACCUGUAUUACCAGUGGAUCUUCAUGCGGGCUGACCACAUUAUCCAGAUCUUCCUCAGAGAAGCUUAUUCCCUCGCUUGGGUAUGACCUUUUCUUAGAUUUUGGUACUGCAGUAGUCUGCAUUACCUUCCGCGAGUAACUUCUGCUUUCUCCUACUGAUCCUCCGCCGAAGAUUAAAUUUAUUACCCUUCUCUUGUGGUCAGUGUCUGAGUCAGGACUCCUUGAGCGUUGUCGCUUACCCUUGUUAUUUGGGUUCUUGCAACCUUGUCGCCCCCUUUCUACUUUGUUUAUAUAUUGUUUUAGCUUUCCUUCCUUUACCUGAGUAUCUAGGAAAGCACUCAGUUCCCUGCAGUUUUCUGUGUUGUGCCCGUAGUCCUUGUGGAACUUGCAGUAUCUGUUCCUCCUUGUCCGGGUCUCUUUUGUUGCAGGGUUUAAUUUUGCUGGUUGAGGAAACCUUAUUCUUCCCUUUUCCUUGUUGUAGAUUUCCUCUUUUGGAGUGCUGAAAACUGUGAAUCCUGGUGAGACAUGCCUGAUUACGUCAGUCACUCCCAGCAACGCCCUUCAAACAAGGAAUAGGGUUCCGUCGCUAUAUGCCGGACCCCCGGAAAGGCUUCCACGGUGCGGAGCACGUGUCUACGUCAAGAGCUCAAGUUAACACUCGGGAGUCGCCGACUCCAGGGGGAAUCGCCAACUCUACGCCUCGUGGACAGCUCUGGUAGGCUGCCACUAGGCUCAUGGGGAGUCGGCGAUUGAACCUCUGGAUCGGCGAUUCCCAUACCUGAAUCGCCGACUCCCAGCCGUUACUUGAGCGGACCUUCGCCAUUAAGGCAUUCCUUAUUUGGGGUACCUUAAUGGCGUGGGCCCCACUCGAUUGAAUGGGGAAACGCCCCCCAAGACCCUAUAAAAGGGGUCCUUGGGGGACCUCUAUCCUCAACUUAUCCUCUCUUGACUCACACUCCCACUAGAGCAAACCAAGGAGCCCGAAUCGCCUACUCCCACGUGAGUCGCCGAUUCCCCUCCUCUUCUGCAGGUGUUUGACGUAGAGCGCGCGUCGUGGACUCCAAAGCCUCCGGCCCUCCUCGCAACCCCGCGAGCCCACUGGUAGCAGAUUCCGUGCUUCAUCAAAUCCCAAGUCUUUGAACCUUGGGUACUUUGAUUUUUCGAACUCCUCAGAUGUCUGGUAGACCUUUCCAUCGUGUUUUGGUCUCCAGGGUGAUUCUCCUUUUUCGAAUUUUUAAUUUUUUUCUUUUGUGCUUCAUAUGCCUUUUUGUUGCUUAUGGCACCUCUUUCCUUUUUCAUACUCCUCAGAAUUUAUAUACUUCUGGGCCUUUGUUAACAGGUCUUCCAUGCAUUUCACAUUACUCACAUUUAGCUUUAUUGCUAAUAGUGUGUUCAUGUCCAACCCCUUUGAGUAUGCGCAAAUUGCAAUUGUUGUGUUCAGGUCGGAGAUUUUUUGCAUAGCUUCUGUGAAUUUAGUUGUGUAAUUCCGAAAUGUGUCUUCAUUCUGCUUGAUUGUAAAUAAUGAUUCAGUGCCCUUCCUGACUCUUGUGUUCCCACAAUGUUGGGAAAUGAACUUUUUCUUCAGGUCUGCAAAACUUGUUAUGCUCCUUGGUUGUAGUUCGACGAACCAUCUGUAUGUAGGCCCUUUCAGUGUUCCUGGGAAUGCUCUGCACAGGAUGUCAUCUCUCGCUGUGACCCAUUGCAUCGCUUCUCUGAACAUAUUUAUGUGGUCUACUGGGUCCAUCUUCCCAUCAUAGAUUUGUAACCUAGGCAGCCUAAAUUUUAGAGGUGCUAGUUUCACCAUUAAUAAUUUAUGCAGGGCCUCCAUACCUUCUAACCAGUUUGGGAAUUCGCAUCCUUCCCCCUCUGUAUCUCCCGUACCUUCCUCGUACGCGGAUUUUUUAGGUAGGACUUUAGAUUUUUGCUCUUCUGGUUUAUGAGGUGGCAACGUGCUAGAGUGUGCCGCUUUAUGGCUCGACACCUCAUGUUGUGCCUUGGCCUGCUUUGAUGUUUGAGCCUUUGAAUGAAAUAUUGAUGCUUUGAACUUUUCAAUUGUUUUCAAUCUUUCGCCCAUUUUUGCUAUGGUUUCUUUCAUUUUUUCCAGCUCCUCUAUGGGCAUUUUUACAAACCCGCGAGGGGUUUCUGAUGCUGAAGCCCUUGCUUCCUGGUUACUUGCAGGUUUUUCCUGAGGUUGCUCUUUCUGAGGUUGCUCCCUUUCAGUAAGGAGUCGUAUGGCCUCAGCUAUCGCCUGUAGUGUGAUGUUCAGGUUCUCCCCCCCAGCUGAUGCUUGGGGGGUUUGCUCAAGUUCAGUGGGGGUGCUUUUGUUUUUAUUAGCCUUAGGUGGCCGACCCACUGGUCUUUUAGUUUUCGAGUUGCCAGACUGCUGUUCUGGUAUCUCCUGAGAGUUGGCCCCUCCCAGAGAAGUACUUCGUGUCAUUACCAUCCUGGAGAGUUCGACUUUUUUUUUUUCAAAAAAAAAAGUCGAUUCUUGUGCACUUGGAGACUUCCUCGAAAGUCGCAGCUUGAAAGCGUAGCUCCUUGAGGAAUCGACUUUUCUUCUGGGAAGAAAAAAGUCGAUCUUCUGAAAAGUCAAUCCUUUGCCGAGCUGAUUUCCUCGCAAGACUCCCUGGCUGGCGUCUUGGAAAAAAGUCGAACCCUUUUUUCGAAAAAGUCGAGGAGCUUUUGUCGUGAGUAUCUUUGAAUCAUAGACGGCACCAACUGAUGAAGGUAAAACCCGAUCAGUACUCCAAGACGCUCCAGCAAGCGCCAAACGGGGAACUCCGCGGGAAAUCAGACCGGAACUCAAGUGCGCAGAGCUCUGCUUCGCUAGGAACUCUCUACUCCAAAUGACUUGCCUCAAAUGAGUAGGGGGUGCCUCCUAUUUAUAGGGAUUCUUAUGGGGGGUAAUCUGAUCAUUUGGGCAGUAACCGCAUAACCGCCUAACUGCCUAACUGAUCAGAUCGGGUCCCAAGGUUGACUUUUCAGAGAUCUACUUUCUCGGGAUCCGACUUUCCUGGGAUUCGACUUUUCUCAGAAGUCGAUCCCAGGGAAGUCGAUCCUUGGGAAAGUCGAUCUUCCUAGGAUUCGACUUGGGACCUCCCCAAUCCUAGAAUAGGUACCUCAACUCAUCUUAGGCUAUCCGGACUUCUAGUUGCUGGUAAGUUGUGACCGAGUUCGGGAUACUGUAUCACCAAAGAUACAUCAAAAAUUCACCUGGUCGAGGACUUUUCUUUUCAGGCUCUAAAACCUCAGGCAUUAUGGCAUUCUCCGACUGGGCAUCUUGUCCAACAACAAGGCAAUCAACAUCUGGAUUUGCCAUUUAUCUUGAUAACAAUCUUAUUUCCUGGCAAACAAAGAAACAACACACGGUAGCAAGAUCGUCAGCCGAGUAUAGAGUCAUAGCACACACUACGUGUGAAGUAACUUGGCUAAAACAGUUUUUAAAAGAGAUACACAUGCACGUACCAAUUCCCACAAUCUUCACAGAUAGUUCCUCAGCAAUGGCAAUCGCAACAAACCCUGUUCUUCACCAAAGGACAAAACACAUAGAAAUUGACAUACAUACAGUGAGAGAUCAGGUUUUACAAAAAGAGGUAAUACUACGGAAGGUACAAACAAAAGAAAAUGUAGCUGACAUUUUAACCAAAGAUGUCACCGGAGCACUAUUCAAACACCUAUGUGACAAACUAUAGAUGAGAGACUUACAUGCAGGAACAAAAACUUAGGGAAAAGCAAGACGAUCGACGAGAAGACGCACCCGCGGUUUUUCCUUUUCUUCGCUCCACUUCAGACGCGAUUUCCUGCUAUUAAGGAAGGAAAACCCUAAGGACAGUAUUUAUUCCCGACAAUUUUUUCAUAUAUACAUCAGUAGGCCAAUGACAGACAAUCCAAAAAGAACAAUUCUUGGUAAAGCCCAAGAAUUCCCUUUUUGAGGGGGCAUAUUAAAUGAACCACAUAAGUAAAAUUACUUUUGUAACGUCAACGGCUGUCAUUAAUCUUCGACGCAUGCUUCCAAGGCGACGGUUCAGUUCCCGACCGUUUGGCUACUCUAUAUAAACAUAAGAAUACAGCUUUGAAAGAUUAACGUUCGAUUUAUACAUUUUGGAAUUCAAAAGGUCUGAUCUAUAUUGUGGAGCUUCCGGUCUUUCUUGCCAUCCUAGUCGCUGCACAUUCAUCUUUUGAUAUCUGUCUUCACUCCUCGGAUCUUCACACUCCCGUGGAACUCGAUUAUCUUACAGUAACCAUUUAUUACAUAUUCUUAUCAAUCAUAUCUCCUGCAAUAUCAUAUCGAGAAUAUCUGCUGCAUCAUCAUACAGUGAAUUAGUUCUUGCUAUUACUUACGAUAAUAUAGUCAUUCUCUCAGUCGAUCCGACUUUAGCAUUGCACAAUAAUCAUCACACGUGAAUCUGGAUUGCAUUGUUAUCAUAUCGUGUUUUCUUAGAAUAUUUAAACAACAGUUCUUAGAUAAGUUUCAUCAUAUCAGUUUAUAGACAUUUAUGUAUUCUAUCAUUUCUUGUUAAGAACUACUUCAUUUAUAUAUAUAUUUGAUUAGUUAAAGUAACAUAUUCCAUUCAAAUCUCUAUUAGAUUUUACAGGUUUUAACGGAAUCAUCUUCAAAACACUUAAUAAUACAAAAUUGAACAAUAAUGAUAUUUUAUGUUUCAAUUUAAUAGACAAGAUAAUAGAAAAUUGAACAAGAAAAUUACCUCAAUCAACUGAUCAGAUGAGAGACAUGUAAUAAAGUAGUCAACCUUAUUUUUGACCAGAUGACGGAAAAAGUAAAUCUUUUAUGUAUGUUGUUGCUUAAUCGAUUUUAGAUAUUUUAACAAAAUAAAAGUUUAAAGUAUAAACAAAUUAAAGAACAAUAUAAAAGAUUUAUACUGCAGGUUCACCCAAAAAAUGGCUAAUUCAGUUUCGAUGAACACGAAAAUCAUUAGCCUAAAGGUUAUGACAAUACCUUUUCGGUAUUUUUCUUCAAGGUUGUUGAUGCUUUGUUCAGUUUGACGUGUUUUAAUCCUCUCCAGGGUUUGUGUUCAAUCUUCCAAGAACUUAGUUUUUCUUCAUCGGUAUUAUUCUUCUCGUUGUGAAUCAUAGUUGGGGGCGGUCUUUCGCGCAAACAUCGGACGAGGUUCCAAUUGAUGAAUACAAACAUGGAGACCACCUCCGACUCGAGAAGCAUUGCACUCUGUUGUCUAGCACGUGUAAGGUAUGAGAGCGUUGCUGCUUGUGACCGACGUCGAUAUCCAAUAGGGCGACGUAAUUUAAAACCCUAGUUUCCCCGACAAUGUAGAGUGUUGAAGCUACCUUGUAGUUUCCUUAAACAAGUUUCAGUUCAUAAGUCACUUUCCCUUCUUGAUACGGAGGAACACAACACAUAGUUUAUUAGAAGAAUCUAAACAUUGGUACGGAGGAAUCUAAACAACAGACACAACUUCUUUAGAUAUUUUUCUAAAAUCCAUUCGUGCAUUCAUUCAAAUCGUAUAUAAAUACAGCCCACAAUUGUUCCAAUAACUCACACAUCAAAAUUCAGUUCAUAUGGCUCGCCGGACAUCAUUCUCGUCGGAAUCAUCGUCUUCCGAUUCGUGGUUCUCCGAUGUGAUGAUUAACAAAGAAUAUUCCACAUCGGAUUCUGAAGACGAUGAGGUAUUCGUCCGUGGACUGAUGACCCUGAGAGAGACCAGAUUCUUCUUCGAUCCGGUGGGGAAGACAAAGUCGAUAUCGAAUGAGUUUCCGUUCAAGGGGAAUCACGUUGAGGUUUUGGAUUCGAAGAAUCCGUACAUGGAUUUCAAAAUUUCCAUGGCGGAUGUGGUGGCUUCACACGGUGGACCUAUUUUAACAGAGGACUGGAGUUUCCUCCGAGAGUUACUUGACUGGUAUCUUAAAGUCAACACCGAGAAGUCACAUCCGAUCAUCGUCGACGCGUUUUCCGAUCUGUUGUUAGAGAUUCUCUCGUCGUCGUCUUCUUUUUUAAUUUCGUAGUAAAUAUCAAUAACCCCCCUGUAAAUCUGUAGUAUUAUAUAAAAACACAAUUUAUAAAAAAAUGGAUUGGGCCGGGCAGUCGUCAAUCAAGCCUACCCAAAACAAGAUUAUUCCUUUCCCCUCCCCCAAGUAACUAAACCCUAAUCGUUUUAAACAGAGGGAAAACGGCAUCGGAGGAAGAAGACGAAGAAAAACCGGUGCAAGAAUGGCGGCGGCGGCAUCAAAUUUGCUCUCCGGCAUUGCGCGUGUAGCCCUUACCUUAGGUACUGGGGCGGCUCUAGUGAAUUCAGCUCUCUACACUGUUGAUGGAGGCCAACGUGCCGUGAUUUUCGAUCGAUUUGGUGGUGUUCGCGAUUCCACAGUCAGCGAGGGCACACACUUUCUCAUCCCGUGGUUGCAGAAACCUAUAAUCUUCGAUAUCCGCACUCGUCCCCAUUCCUUCACAUCUACGUCUGGUACCAAGGAUCUGCAGAUGGUUAACCUCACUCUUCGUCUACUUUCUCGUCCCGAUACCCCUCGUCUACCGACGAUUUUCAAAACCCUAGGAACUGAAUACGAUGAGAAAGUCCUUCCUUCAAUCGGAAACGAGGUUCUUAAAGCCGUCGUUGCUCAAUUCAACGCCGAUCAGCUUCUCACCGACAGACCUGCGGUAUCCGCUUUGGUGAAGGACUCACUGACGAAGAGAGCAAAAGAUUUCGGAAUCAUCCUCGAUGACGUGGCAAUAACACAUCUGAGCUACGGAACGGAGUUCUCUAGAGCCGUGGAGCAGAAGCAGGUUGCGCAACAAGAAGCGGAGAGAAGUAAAUUCGUGGUGAUGAAGGCCGAGCAAGAAAGGCGUGCGGCGAUUAUUAGGGCGGAGGGAGAGAGCGAAGCUGCGAAGUUGAUCUCAGACGCUACAUUGCAAGCUGGCAUGGGGCUUGUUGAGUUAAGGAGGAUCGAGGCUGCGAGAGAGAACGCCGCCACUUUGGCGAGAUCCGGAAACAUUGGGUACAUUCCGAGUGGAGGCGGCAAUGGAGGUAAUCAGUUACUUCUUGGGCUUAACGCCGCUAGAUGAUCAUCGUGUCAUAUUUACGGUAAUUAUCUUUCAUCUAAUAUUGUUUCCUUUAUAAACUCCGGUAAUCAUUUUGCUCCGGCUAUCUACCUCCAUAAACCGGAAAACUCGUGCUCUUUUGUAUUUCCACACUGAAACUGCUUUAUUUUUAUGUUUUUUUUAUCGGAGGUUUUCCUAAUUAAAUGGUAAAUGGUUAAUUUCUUGCCGGUGUUCAUCGGAUGAUUCCGUCGGUGAUGUCACCGAGAUAGAUUGGGCAGUUGGAUUGGAUAUUAAAUUAUUGAAAGUUGGUGAAAUGAUGAAUUUCAGUGGGGUUGAUCAUAGCUGUAAUUUAAAUAAAAAGUUGGUGCUUUAUUUGUUUGUUCUUGAUGAUAAUGAAAUUCUGAUCUGAUAUUCCAGUUAAAAACAAUACCGACAGCCAUUAUUUAUUGUGAAUACUAAUACAGUCUACAGACUAAAACUGCCGGCGACCAUGAUUUAAACAUCAACAGAGCAUCUGGUGAUCUGUUGGAACUUAAACGAGUCGCCCUUCGAGUCGUUUUCGUCGACGGUCAGAAAAGCUGGGCAUGAAACCCUGAUAUGAUAAUGCCCUGACAUCCAGGUUCCAACUUUCCAUCUCACUCUUCCGGCAACCUUGAUAUGAACCAGAACUAAUCCGGCGAUCUUAUCAUGUGCCAUAUCUACGCACAUGUACUCCGCCACCGGCACACCGAUACCAUACAGAAACGGCGACCAGACGUUAACAUCCUUCUUGCCUUGGUAAACGCUGUUGAGCGCUGUCGGAAUUGUCACUUGUUGUUGCCUGUAGUCCACAUACACAUCAAGCUUGUCGUAGGCCACACCGAUACGCCGGUUGGAGUUGUAGGAAGAGAGUGUGACUUGCAUGGUUGUUGUGAGGUAGUGACCUUCAUCUUUCGAUAGUGUGAGGUUGUAAACCGUCACGUCCUGGAGCCAGAACUUGGGCUUGGUCGGCCGGAGAACGAGGAAGAUGAUGAAGAUGGUAAGAAGGAUUAACACUACAAAGAAGAUAAUGCUAAUUAUGAUGCAUUUCAGUAGAUACUCGGUGUUACUCUCCUUAUCGCCGUCGCCUUUCUUAUCCUUUUUCGACAUUUUCACUGGUUAGAAGCUUGGAGUUACAACACCUUAUAUAAUGAUUAAUGAGAGACCAAACUACUUUGGAGUAUUGUGGAAUAAAAAAACAAACAUGCUUUAGUUAGUUAUACCAAACAUCCAUAGGUUAGAAUGUAAAUGAGUAUUGUGUAUGUAAUUUUUAUUUAAUUUAUAACUAAGAGUGCCUUAUAUUUUUUAAUUCGGGUAGAAAAAUCAUUUUUGUACAGUCGUCGAGGUAAAUCUUUUUACUACUGAUAUAUUAUAUGACUUUGGUAUUUCAUCCGUAGAUGAUUUUUUUUACUUGUAAAAAGAUAACAUCUGUUAAAAAAAGAAUGUAGAUAGAUCGUCAAGGUCGGGUAAUACACAGGGAGAAUAGUUCAACUGGUUAUGAUUGUGUUUGAUCAUUCAGAGGUAGAUCUUUUUACUUGUAGAAAGAUAACUUCUGUUAUAUAAAAAAAAACAGAAUGUAAAUGUGUCGACAUAUCCGGGUAAUACAAAUGAAGAUUAACUUAACUGAUCACAGUAAGUCAGUAACUAUUAGAGUUGUUGAUAAUCCAGGAUUCUAAUGUAAUUGUGUAUGUAAUUUUCAUUUAAUUUUCACCAUGAUAUAAUUAAUGAUAUAUUAUGUGACUCUGUUUGAUCAUCCAGAGGUAAAUUUUUUUACUUGUAAAAAGAUAACCUCUGUUAUAAAAAAACAGAAUGUAAAUGGGUCGACAUGUUCGGGUAAUACAAAUGAAGAUUAACUCAACUGAUCACAGUAAGUCAGUAACUAUUAAGGUUGUUGAUAAUCCAAGAUUUUAAUGUAAUUGUGUAUGUAAUUUUCACCAUGAUGUAAUCGGUGAUAUAUUGUGUGGGUUUUUUUGAUCAUUCAGAGGUACAUCUUUUUACUUGUAGAAAGAUAACAUUUGUUAUGAAGAAAAAAACAGAAUGUAAAUGGCUCGGCAAGUUCGGAUAAUACACAUGAAAAUUAAAUCAAUUGAUCACAAUAAGUAUUAAAAUUGCUGAGAGAGUGUGUGUUCGUGGUUUGUAUACUUUUUGUGUAUUAAAUUUUUAUUUAAUUUUCACCAAGAUUUAACCGAUUUAAUUUUCACCACGAAUGUAAACGGGUCGGGUAAAAUGAAGAUCCGAUAAAUAGAAGCAUGAGAAACAUUUUAUUAUAGAAUAGGCAUGAAGAAAAAACAUAAUUGUCUGGUGUUGUCUGAACAAAUUGACAACUCUGUUCUUGAGACAUGGUUGGUUUUAUUUAGUAUCAUCAAUCAUGAUUUUGGAUAAAGGUAGUCAUCAUCUGUACUAUCCUGCUCUGUACUUUUGGUAUCUCAGGGAGAGUAAGUCCAAUCCUUUGAUGAACUCUGACCAGUAAUCAUGUGCUUCUCCGGCUGUGACAGCUUCUUCUGGCGCUGCCGCUCCUCUCUUUUCGGCCCUGUUGUUGUGUUUAAGAAGAAACAGACAAAUUGCAUUACUAGAAAAACAGGGGAACUCUGUUUUGAAACAGACAUACCAGUAGAAGUCGGUUUAGUUUUUCUUCUUGUGGAGGUUUCAGUGGGGUCGAUCUUUGGAAUGAAAACCCCAGUGCCAGUUUUCCCCAGGGGAGCAUUCAUUCUCCGGGAAACUAUAGACGUUUGCUUCACCGGAAAAUUCAUUCUCCGAGCAGCUACAGACGUCCCUCUCACUUCAAAAUCCAACAGUGGAGCAGAAUUGAAACCACCACCACCAUGAGAAGGUGGGUAAAUUCCGGCAUUGUCAUUACUCCAAACCUACAAAAUAAGCAAUUUUGGACAUGUGAUGAUCUAAAAACGUAGGGAGAAAAAAACAGAGCACAUUUCGAGAAGUUUUUCCUUUAAUAAAUUCUCGGAUGGAUCUUCAUCGGAGAACGCACCUGAGAUAUUGGUGGAAAUGGACUUCGAUCAAAUCUUGGACCUCCUUCUACUACUCGACUUAUGCCAUUUGGGUCAAGAUUAAAUCUUGGAACGACACGAUUAAAAUCAAAUCUUGCAGUGGGCAAACCACCACCAUUGCCAUUGCCACCGCCAUUAUGAAGACCGGAGCCUAUCGGAAACCCUCCAUUGCCGCCGUAUCCUUCUGGCUCUUUAUCACGUGUGGCUCGUCUGAUGACCGGACUAAACCUCUGGGAAAUAAAUCAACAGAACAACGUUCCUCAGCUGACGCUAAACAAAAAGAAAAGAAAGAAAACAGAAAUAUAACCUUCAAGCGGAUGGGCACGUCGGAACCUCCAGUUGGAUUGUUCGGGGCAUAAAAAGGGUCAUUCUGAGAUAGCUCCGAUGAUGGGCCAUGAAAUGGGUCAUUUGGUCGUUGGCUGGUCUUGUUGCUGCUGUACUCCUGGUAGAGAUCCGACAGCAAGUGAUAAGUCCCAUUUCUCCGGUCAAAUGGUUUCCACUCUGCCAUUGUAGACGACGGCGAGUUUAGUACAAAUGAUGUGAGAAUGAGAUGGCAACUUAUAAAUAAAUGAGGGAGGUGGGAGGUUACAAAAUGAAAAAAAAACAGAGCAGAGAAAAAGGACUGGAAAGUAAUAUUUCGAAUUUAAAAGAUCUUAGAAUUUGGAUUUUUUUUUAAUAAAUAUUUUUUCAAAUAUCCCUGUAUUUUUAUCAAAUUGUUAUAUUCUUCAGCUUUUGUCUGAGUUUUGGUAUAUCAUUUAGAGAUUUUAUAAUUGUGGAAGGUUUCAUCGGCAAUAAGAGGAAAUUAUCUUCUUGUAUUUUUCUCGUGUUUUCCGACAGAUAAUGAGUUGUAAUAUAAUCAGUAACGGCGUCAUGGUUGGCAACACGACAUUUCCGCGUUACUAAUCAGUGUAUGGGAUGGGCGAGAAGAUUCAUUUUUUGUAGUAAAUCAGUAACAACUCCGCAGUUACUGAUUUUUCGACACGAGUUUUACCAUUUCAGAAAGAUGGAAAAGAAAAGGUUUAAAGAAACAAACACGAUAUUUUCACGUUACUAAUCAGUGUAUGAGAUGAACGAGAAGAUUGGUUAUGGAUAUUUUGACUGAUUUCGACGGUCAGGUAAUAGUUAUGUAGUAAAUCAGUAACAAUUCCGUAGUUACUGAUUUUUUGACACAGGUUUUACCAUUUUAGAAGGGCGAAAAGAAAAGGUUUAAAAAGUUAACACGACAUUUCCGUGUUACUAAUCAGUGUAAUGAGAAGAUUGAUUAUGGUUAUUUUGACUGGUUUCGACGGUCAGGUAAUUGUUUUGUAGUAAAUCAGUAACAACUCUGCAGUUACUGAUUUUUCGACACGGGUUUUACCAUUUUAGAAGGGUGAAAAGAAGAGGUUUAAAAAGGCAACACAACAUUUUCACGUUACUAAUCAGUCCAUGAAAUUGACGAGAAGAUUGAUUAUGGUUGAUUGUGAUACCCUCGGCCUACUGGAAUAGUCUAACAGAAACAACAAAGGACCAGGCCCAUCGGACUGAGUAUAGAUGAUAUCCUUGACCCGUUAGAGCAAUAUCGGAGCAUCCCCAGAUCUAUCAUCAGCCAAACCCCGACCCGACUCGAUAGAGCGACCCAAAAACGUCCCCAGGUCUGUCAUCGACCUGCUCUACCAGAGCGGUCCAGGAACAUUAGGACCAGGACAGGCCCAACCCCGGGAAUAACAGAAGGUCUAUUAAUACAUACCUCCUCAGGGGGAUGACAUGUUAAUACAUGUGCUGGACUAGAGAGAGAGAAAUAAAAGAUUGAAUCCUAAUUCGAUUGUCCAUGCCCCUCUUCAGCCAUACAUCGUCAGUUGAUUUUGGCUGAUUUCGACGGUUAAGUUAAUAGUUAUGUAGUAAAUUAGUAACAAUUCCAUAGUUAUUGAUUUUUCGACACCGGUUUUACCAUUCUAACAAGGAGAAAGAAGAGGUUUAAAGAAACAUAAACGGACCAAAGAAUAAUUAACUUGAUCUUUGAGGUUUACUAUAGAAAGUACAUGUUUUUAGAUAUGGAAGUAAUUAUUGUAUUUUAUUUGGGUUUUGAAAUAAAAAUAUUAUUUUUUAUAUUUUUACGAGGGUCUCCGUACAUAUAAUAUAAAGAUAUUAUUAUACAUUACGGUACGAAUGAUGCUUUUUCAUCGUGUAACGUCGUCGGUCUUGUUCGUAUCGUCACAUCGCCCGUCUGUUAACGUCCAUCGCCGGAGCCGCAUCUCUGUUGCUCCGACCAAGCUUUAUCGAAGAAAGGUGUCCUUCAUUGCUACUAUGGAAGCUCCCCCUCCGGGAUACCGGACGAAUGUUGGGAUUUGCCUCAUCAACGCCUCUUUCGACAAGGUUAAACUUUUUAGGGUUUAUUUAUAUUUUUUGUAAACUGCAUGUUUAUGACUAGAAAUUUCGGUGUGCAGAUCUUCUUGGCUUCCAGACUUGAUAUCCCAAGUUCAUGGCAGAUGCCUCAGGUGUUAUUUUGUUUUUGUUUUAUACAUUUUUUUUUUUAAAUUGUGUGAACUGUACAUUGGUUGGGAGUAUUUUGUAUUCCUUGAUUGGUUUAUAUGAAUAAAAAUAUGUAGAUGGGGUGUUGUUUCUAAAUGAAGAAGAAUCAAUUUGUGAUUAGAACUGCACUUUUGGUUUUUUGUUAGUAUGAGAUUCAAAAUUCGUCCAAAAUGGGAAAAAUUAUGGGGACAUAACUCAUUAGUACAUUAAGACUUUCCUGCAUCAAUUCAUUGAAGAAUUGGUUUGGAUUUUGAUUUGGUAUACACUAUUGUGCGAUUUGUUAAACCUAGAUUGUUAUAUAUUUCUUCAAGUGAACAUUAUUUCAUUUGAACUAAAGAGAAUAGGGCAUUACUUACUCAUUUAUUCCUAAUCUUUUACUUAUAUGCAGGGGGGUGUUGAUAAGGGAGAGGACCCUCAAAAUGCAGCCAUUAGAGAAUUGAGAGAAGAAACUGGAGUAGUUUCAGCAGAGUUACUUGCGCAGGUUAGCAUAUGCAUUGCUUUCUAAGUGAUGUUUAUGGUCAUUAUUAAUCUCCUAAUAUUAUUGCAAGAUGACUUCAAUGACUUAUAUUUAAUGGAAGAUAUUUAAAUUUAUUUUCUUUCUCUUCGAUGUAGGUUCCUUAUUGGUUGACGUAUGACUUCCCUCUUGAUGUUAGAGAGAAAUUGAACGAGCGGUGGGGAUCAAAUUGGAAAGGUCAAGCGCAGAAAUGGUAUGAAUAAUUUCAGGUGUUCCAAUUAUCAUUUAUCGAUAUUGAUAUAAAUAAAAACGGAAAUGAAUAAUUCAAUGGGAUCCUCCCAUAUUCUGUUCAUUGCACAUUGUAUAUUUGUAUGAAAUUACUUGAGAUUGUUUUUCAUCAUAUGCGAUUCUAAAAUUAACUGUGAUUUCUUUCACAGGUUUCUGUUCAAAUUUCUUGGCAAGGAUGACGAGAUCAAUCUUUUAGGGGAUGGUUCUGAAAAACCAGAAUUUGGUGAAUGGUCUUGGAUGACCCCACAGCAAGUCAUUGAACUUGUAAGAGAUCUGUAUUCCCUCUACAUCACCGUCACUCGCUCGUUCAUGUGAAAUACUACAAUAUUUGAUAUCUAUUAACUUGUUUAUCUGCAGGCAGUGGAAUUUAAGAAACCUGUUUAUGCAGAGGUUUUGAAGUUUUUUGCUCCCCAUCUACAAUCAAGCAGCAUAGAGUAGAUAUAUUGACAUCUAUUCAUUUAUAUGUCUUUAUUUAAAACUUUUGAUAUAUGACAUUUCCACUUGUUUCCAUAAUUCUCCAAAAUAUCAUAAUGUUGAAACUUCAUAUUGAACUUCCAGGAUUCUGAUACUACUACUACACAAGCAACACAAUCUGAUCUCCUCUGGCUAUACCUGAGCUAGCCGAACCCUUCCAGUUGUUAAAGUGGAACUCAGAUCCUCCACAUCAACCUUCACAACAUCCUUCCUGUUACCAAUAUCAGCAAAAUACCGACUUGCACAGUAAACCCCCACAGUUGUGACAGCCAUUCCAUAAAUAUUAGUAGUCAGCAGGCGUAUUGGGGUUGAAAACGCAGCUGCCAUUGGUCCACCAAUGAUCGACAGUGCCUGUCCGCUUUGUCCAACCACUCCAUUCUCCACCACGAUCAAUCCAGUUUUGCAGUAAAUCGCAAAGUCCUCACAAUUAGUCUUGAAUAUGUUAUAGCAUCUAAAGCCAGUAUUGAGCAUACGAAUUGCUCUAUGGGUUACAGUAUCAUCUGGAUCACAGGGUGCCAGAGUACAUGUUCCACCACGGGCCUUGGCAAGGAAAAGAGCAGGAUUGACUCCAUACUCAAACCGAUACAGAACACCACCAGAGAGGAAACAAUCUAGACAUGACUUAACUACACCAUGUGUGUAUUUAAGCUGGAUUGAGCAGUUGUUGGGACAUGGAGGUCGAGAGCUUGAUGAUGGUCCAGAGCUUACCAGGAUUAAAUCAAGUGCAGUUCCUGUUCCAACUUCUUGUCCAUGCCCUCUUGUGAAGUGGAUAACUUUGUUAUCUCCCAUGUAUAUGCCUACAGAAAGAUUUAAAGAAACAACAUGCCAUUGAUUCCAGUAAUCACACAAACCUAUACAGUUGAGCUGACUAGAGUAGAGUGCAUACCGUGAUGAGCAUAGACAUAAGCAGUUCGCCAUGAGUAAAUGUGAUCUCCUGGUUUUAGCUUGUCUUUACCAAUUCUGUGAUCAUAUAUAGAAAUACCCAAGACGAAUUAUAUAUGCAACUCUGAAGGUAAGUAUGAACAAGAACUCAAGAAGAAGACGAACCAACCUGUUUGAAAGCAGACCCAUUGUUAAGAAAUGAAGAUGACGUUUGUCUGAUCUCUGAAUUUAGAUAAGAAGUGGGAAGGAAAGUGGAAGGAAUCAAUUCUACUUCUACUUCUACUUUUGUCAAAGGGAGAAGAUACUUGUUCCAAUCAUUUGCCCUAGUGGUAACUGGUAAGGAUUGAGCUAAACAACACGACCCUUCAUUAAUGUUCGAGAGUUGUGACAACUAAAGAUAUGGAUGUCACAAUUCAAUAAUAUUGUCAGAAGUCAUGUUAUCCCUUUCGACAUAGAUUAGAUGCGAAUCCGAAUCCAGCUAGGUUUGAUUGAUUGCAGUCAAAUAUUUAUAAUGAUAUAGCAUCAUCGGCUUCAAUUGAUGAGAUAUUAAAUUGGGAAAUUUGGGUCUUUAGAUUGAGAAUAUUUGUUUUCUUAAAUCUCAAUGUCGAGAACUGAAGAUGAAGUUAAUAAAUAUUAUGUAUACUUUUUUCGAGAUCUUAAUUAUAUAGGAAACGAUUUUGAUGAGAUAUCAUUCAUGGUUUAAAAUUAUUAUCAAUUUUUUUUUGUCGUUUGUGAGACAAUAUCUUGAGGUUAAACCAGUAUCACAUCUCGAAAAAAAUAGAUGUCUCCGAUUAAAUAUCUUAUUUUUGUUAUCUUACCUGAAAACUAGUCCUGAUUAAAUAUAAAUUAAUCGACAACGCUUCUUGAAAUAUUUAAAAUAAGAUAUCUUGUGAGAUAUUGGUAAAUUCAUCAUUCAUAAAACAUUCCACGAUUUACCACCAUUAUCAGUUUUUUUUGUCUUUAUGGACUAUAUCUUAAGGGUCAGACCAUUAUCACAUCUCAAAAAAAACAAACGUCUGAGAACAAAUAUUUUGAUAUCUUAUUUUGAUAUCUCAUUUGAAGUUAAUUUAGGUUGUCAAGAAUCUAUACUGUUUCAUCUCAUGUGUCUAUUAUUUUUCUUUGAUUUAAAAAUUCAUGUUCGAAACAUUUCAUUUUAUCUUAAAUAAAUAGAGCUAGUUUCAAGUGUGCCAAAGCGCACAUCCGUCGACUGACGAUGCAUUAUUCAUCAAUAAUUAAACUCUGUACAACGAGUUGUACGUCGUAUGUUACAUUAUCUUCAAGUUGUACUCGUUACCAGUAUUACGUUGUAUUGGGCCUUUAACGCAUGUGCGUUUUGACACAUCUGAAGUGCGCCUUAAAUAAAUAUUCAUAUGAAUCUAAUCUUACAUAUAGGGUCAGUUUCUGGUGAAAUCCAUUAUAUAAAAGAUAUUUUUAGAACUUAAAUCUCAAUCACUUGUUUCAAGUUUUAACCGUCCAAUCUCAUUUAAUUCUCAAAUAGUAAGUUUUCACCUGAAUUAUGAUUGAGUUUGUCUAAAGAACACAACAAUUUGAACUCUUUUCACUCUAUUGGUUGUGGUUUUGCGAAAAAGAUGAGCCAGCUGAGUGGCGACCUGCCGGGCCAAGUCGAGCCGAGGGGCGAUCGGUCGAGGCGAAUCAGUUCAUAUUUUGGAUUUAGUUUCUUCCUCAUUAAUUUGUUCAACAUAAAUAUCAAAAUAUUGUUUUAUAGUUAGAUAAUUUUAUUAGAUAUGGCAAUAUCCUUCAAAUUGACUAAAUAUGGAUAUUAGACUUUACUCUGGAGUUUAACAAAACUACAAAAGUAGUGCGCAGGGCCAAACCACUCAUAAAAAUAUCAUUUUUUUCCCUCUUCUUCAGAAACCCUAGCUCUGGUUCCUCCCUCUUCCCCUUCUUCUCUUCCUCUUCCCAAAUGCGAAGUUUUUAGGUUUGAUCCCUACUGAUAUUCCUCGUGGACUUCAGAUAAGCUCUCUCUUUCUCAAUCGUUUUUUAUUUGUGUGCUUAGAGGACUCCAGUUAUGAAUUGGGGAUUUUGUGUGGUAUUUUUGAUAGUGAGUUUUGAGAUCGAAGUAAUUUUUUCUUUCUUUCUUGGUAGUGUAGUUCAGGGAAACUGAUCAUGUGAAGUGGUUGUGGGGGGAAUUGAGAAAUUCUAGAUAGUUUUUUAUUUAUUGUUGAUUUAUAUAUUUAUAUGAAGGAAGAAUUUUUAGGUAUUCUCUUGGGGUUUUUUUCUGCUCAAGAAAUUUAAUUUCGUAGAUUUAGUUUUUUUCUGAUUUCAUGGUUUUUUUCUUCUACACAUAAUGGAUAUGAAUUUAUCUUCUGGGGGUAGCAUGGUGCCUGGAUCACUAUAUACUGUUGUGGAUUUGCAAGGUCAGAUGCAUACUCAUCAGCAGCAAAAUCCACAUGGAAAUCUUCAGAAACAGCAGCAACAGCAACAUCUACAUCAACCAUCUCAUCAUUAUGAACAUCCUGGUCAGAUGGUUUGCUCUGGGAUUGGCGAUGUAUAUCCUCUAUCUGGAAGCCAGUUGCAAGAGCAUAACCAGCAGACGUUAGCCCCAGUUAUAGAAUACAAUAAGGUAGAUCGUAUGAAAGUAUCAACAAGCGAAGAAGAUGAGCAUGGUUUCAAUGCAGAAGAUGGGAUUGAUAGCCACCAAGAAUUUAACAAGAUAAAGAAGAAUUCCCCAUGGCAACGUGUUAAGUGGACCGAUAGCAUGGUGAAACUCUUAAUUACAGCUGUUUCUUAUAUCGGCGAUGAUUCUUCAUCUGAAUGCAACCGAGGAAGGAGGAAGUUCUCCAUCUUACAGAAAAAAGGCAAGUGGAAAUCGAUUUCCAAAGUGAUGGCUGAAAGAGGUUGUCAUGUUUCUCCUCAGCAAUGUGAGGACAAGUUUAAUGAUCUUAACAAGAGGUACAAACGACUUUACGAUGUUCUCGGAAGAGGCACGUCAUGCCAGGUUGUUGAAAAUCCAGCACUAUUGGAUAGGAUGGAUAACCUCUCGGAGAAAUCAAAGGAAGAUGUCAGAAAGAUCUUAAGCUCUAAACAUCUUUUUUACGAGGAGAUGUGCUCUUAUCACAACGGGAACAGGUUGAAUCUACCUGCCGACCCUGCUCUUCAGAAAUCUUUGCAAGUGGCUCUGGGGUGUAAAGACGAUCAUGACACCAGAAAGACUUCACACGACGACCUA
rnacentral:lncRNA from 1 species